CGGCGGACGGGUGAGUAAUGCCUAGGAAUCUGCCUGGUAGUGGGGGACAACGUUUCGAAAGGAACGCUAAUACCGCAUACGUCCUACGGGAGAAAGCAGGGGACCUUCGGGCCUUGCGCUAUCAGAUGAGCCUAGGUCGGAUUAGCUAGUUGGUGAGGUAAUGGCUCACCAAGGCGACGAUCCGUAACUGGUCUGAGAGGAUGAUCAGUCACACUGGAACUGAGACACGGUCCAGACUCCUAGGGAGGCAGCAGCG
rnacentral:rRNA from 1 species